rnacentral:SRP_RNA from 2 species
GCCGGGUAUGGUGGCGCGUGCCUGUAAUCCCAGCUACUUGGGAGGCUGAGGCAGGAGAAUCACUUGAACCCGGGAGGGAGAGGUUGCAGUGAGCCAAGAUGGCACCACUGUACUCCAGCCUGGGUGACAGAGCGAGACUCUGUCUCAA